rnacentral:rRNA from 1 species
AUUGAACGCUGGCGGCAUGCCUAACACCUGCAAGUCGGGCGAGCGGAGGACGGGUGAGUAAUGUAUGGAGAUCUGCCUGAUGGCGGGGGCUAACUACUGGAAACGGUAGCUAAUACCGCAUACCAUCAGAUCAACCCAUAUUGGAUUAGCUUGUAGGUGAGGUAUCGGCUAAACUAGGCGACGAUCCCUAGCUGGUCUUAGAGGAUGAUCAGCAACACUGGGACUGAGACACGGCCCAGACUCCUACGGGAGGCAGCAGUGGGGAAUAUUGGACAAUGGGCGAAAGCCUGAUGCAGCCAUGCCGCGUGUAUGAAGAAGGCCUUCGGGUUGUAAAGUACGUUCAGUCGGGAGGCGUUACCGACAGAAGAAGCACCGGCUAACUACGUGCCAGCAGCCGCGGUAAUAC